AGCCUCAUGAGCUGUGGCCUGUCAGUUUUGUCUUUAGUUGAGUCCAGGCAUGGUGGCUAGGCUCUGUCCUCACCAGGCCUGUCUGAGCUCACUUACUGAGGCCUGGCUGGCUAUUCAGGUGUCCGACAGCAGGGACCUGUGGUCAUUACGGAGGUGUCAGACUGGCCCUGGAGGGCAGUAGCCGAGUAGAGAUCAGAACUUCUCUAGCACACGGCGUUCAGUUCCUGAAGGCCCUGGAGAGGAAGCGCUGCAUGGAGGAGAGCACCGCUAUGGAGCCCAGCAUUGGGCCACUCUACAGUGUGUCAGAGGACAGGAUGGAUGGAUACCUCAGCGAGGAUCCUGUUCUUAACUCCUCAACGUGUGACCUGUCGGACGAAGAGAUUUCAACAAAGAGAGAAAACCACCAGAGGCUUGGCCCUGAAGACCUCAAUGAUACACUUUUGUAUGAUUUUUGAGUUGUGUGAAAGUGUUAGAAUGUGUGAAGCUCACUGUUUAAAAAUGUUUGCUGACCUUGCACUCUGGUCGUCAUAUGUCAUGCUUUAUUAAAUAUUAAAAUAAAUUGUUUUAAAUAGC